UGGGUCGACCAGGGCAGGAGAAAACAAGGGUUUACCCUUGUUCUUGUAAGAUUCAACAAAUUAACAAAGGAAUUCAAGGCCAAUCAGUUGCAUGUCAUCAAAUUCUCGUUUAACACAUCAUACUCAAUAGAGUGGCGUGAAAGAAGAAGGCUCAAACACUAAGAAAACGGGAGACUCGCAAGAUCGAGGUAAAUCCUCAAUUUAGGCGACUUGGCAAUUUGGAGCGAGCAUAUGCACACUUGAUGGUUAUCAAGCGCUUCCGCUAUUACAUAUUAAUGUUUUGGGUCAAAUGCUCGUUUUUUUUAUAUAACUUUGUUAAUGGUUACACUCUUUAACACUUGAUGUAUGAUUCUUAGUCGUGUCUAGAUGAACGGGUUGUAGACUUGUUUGUUUUGUUGAUGGUUAAAACAGGGAUAUACUCGUCUUAUGGACGGGUCAUGCCCAAAUUUUGUUAAAUUAGUGCCCAAAUGUUAUUGAUGUC